rnacentral:rRNA from 1 species
AUUGAACGCUGGCGGCAGGCUUAACACAUGCAAGUCGCGCGAGCGGCGGACGGGUGAGUAAUGUCUGGGAAACUGCCUGAUGGAGGGGGAUAACUACUGGAAACGGUAGCUAAUACCGCAUACCAUCAGAUGUGCCCAGAUGGGAUUAGCUAGUAGGUGGGGUAAUGGCUCACCUAGGCGACGAUCCCUAGCUGGUCUGAGAGGAUGACCAGUCAGACUGGAUCGGAGACACGGUCCAAACUCCUACGGGAGGCAGCAGUGGGGAUUAUUGCACAAUGGGCGCAAGCCUGAUGCAGCCAUGCCGCGUGUGGGAAGAAGGCCUUCGGGGUGGAAAGCACUUUCAGCGAGGAGGCGUUAAGCGCAGAAGAAGCACCGGCUAACUCCGGGCCAGCAGCCGCGGGAAUAC